rnacentral:rRNA from 1 species
GGGUAAAAUCCGUAGAGAUCAAGAGGAAUACUCAUUGCGAAGGCGACCUGCUGGAACAUUACUGACGCUGAUUGCGCGAAAGCGUGGGGAGCAAACAGGAUUAGAUACCCUGGUAGUCCACGCCCUAAACGAUGGAUGCUAGUUGUUGGAGGGCUUAGUCUCUCCAGUAAUGCAGCUAACGC